rnacentral:rRNA from 1 species
UUAAAGUUCUAUAUCAUCCUUAAUGUACCCGAGCUAGACUGAUCUUGGAGGCUAAGCAGAAUUAAGCCUGGUUAGUAACUUGAUUGGGAGAUCACCUAAGAGUACUGAGUGAUUUAUAAA